ACUACUACUUUGACUACUGGGGAAAAGGAACAAUGGUGACCGUCACAACAGCCACUGCCACUGUCAGUAAACCAACUGUGUUUCCUCUGAUUCAAUGUGGCUCCGGGACCGGAGACACAGUCACUCUCGGCUGCCUUGCCACCGGCUUCGCUCCGUCUGCUCUGACCUACGGAUGGAGCAAAGACGGGGCAGCCUUGCCCUUGACAGACUUCAUUCAGUACCCCCCCGUACAGAAGAACAACCUCUAUCAGGGUGUCAGUCAAAUCCAAGUGAGUAGACAGGACUGGGAUGCCAAGAAGAAAUUCGAAUGUACCGUGACACAUGAAGCGGGAACGGCGCAGGGUGACUUCGAAAAGCCAGUGGUGGUUUAUAAAGUUCCAACUCUUAAAGUGUUAGCCUCCACUUCCUCUGAAGACAGUGAGUCUCACCUCUCCUGCUUGGCCACUGAUUUUUCACCUGACGAAUAUAAGUUCAAAUGGCUGAAAAACAAUCAAGAAAUCACAACCAAAAUCCACGUGGUCAAAACUCGUUCUACGGAAAGAAAGGACGAGAAUGGAACUUCACUGUACAGCGCAGCAAGUUUCAUCACGAUGAAUUCCAGUGACCUGACUUUGGACAUCCCUUUCAUGUGUCUGUUUGAGGGGAAAGGGGAAAAAGCUCCAAGUUUCGCGAAUAGAACGAUCGUCCCAACGGAAUGUGAUAGUAAAAAACCCGAGAGCACAGAUUGUCCUGAAGCAGAUGCGGAUGUACAUAUCAUCGAACCCUCAAUGGAGGACAUGUUAUUAAACCACAAAGGAACGGUAUAUUGUCAAGUCAAGGUUAACAAACCACCUCUGGAAAAGAUUUCAUGGGAGACCGAGACUGGAAAUCCAAUACUUGGUGCCAACCCAAUUACCGACUUUAAGGGCCAUAAGGGAGUAUUUAAUGCUGAACUUACCAUCACGUAUGAAGAAUGGAUAGAGGGCACCAAGUUUGUCUGCAAGGUGGAACAUAAAGAUUGGGUGGCACCAGUUACAAGACCCUACCAAAGGAUUAAUGGAGGAACGACUCAGCGUCCAUCAGUGUUUAUGCUACCUCCCCUAGAACA